rnacentral:rRNA from 1 species
UCAGGAUGAACGCUGGCGGCGUGCCUAACACAUGCAAGUCGAACGGAACUUCUUCGACAGAAUUCUUCGGAAGGAAGUUGAUUAAGUUUAGUGGCGGACGGGUGAGUAACGCGUGAGUAACCUGCCUUUGAGAGGGGAAUAACUUCCCGAAAGGGAUGCUAAUACCGCAUGAUGCAUAUUUAUCGCAUGGUAGAUGUGCCAAAGAUUUAUCGCUCAAAGAUGGACUCGCGUCCGAUUAGCCAGUUGGCGGGGUAACGGCCCACCAAAGCGACGAUCGGUAGCCGGACUGAGAGGUUGAACGGCCACAUUGGGACUGAGACACGGCCCAGACUCCUACGGGAGGCAGCAGUGGGGGAUAUUGCGCAAUGGGGGAAACCCUGACGCAGCAACGCCGCGUGAAGGAUGAAGGUUUUCGGAUUGUAAACUUCUUUUAUUUAGGACGAACAAUGACGGUACUAAAUGAAUAAGCUCCGGCUAACUACGUGCCAGCAGCCGCGGUAAUACGUAGGGAGCAAGCGUUAUCCGGAUUUACUGGGUGUAAAGGGUGCGUAGGCGGCUUGGUAAGUCAGAUGUGAAAUGUAUGGGCUCAACCCAUGCACUGCAUUUGAAACUAUUGAGCUUGAGUGAAGUAGAGGUAGGCGGAAUUCCCUGUGUAGCGGUGAAAUGCGUAGAGAUAGGGAGGAACACCAGUGGCGAAGGCGGCCUACUGGGCUUUAACUGACGCUGAGGCACGAAAGCGUGGGUAGCAAACAGGAUUAGAUACCCUGGUAGUCCACGCUGUAAACGAUGAUUACUAGGUGUGGGGGGUCUGACCCCUUCCGUGCCGGAGUUAACACGAUAAGUAAUCCACCUGGGGAGUACGACCGCAAGGUUGAAACUCAAAGGAAUUGACGG